CUUCAGCGAGCCCAGCCACAGGGGGCUGCCCGGCUCGCGGUCCUGUCCGUAGGUGGCGAGCAGGGCCUGUGCCUC
rnacentral:antisense_RNA from 1 species